rfam:Lactobacillus vini DSM 20605 Scaffold20, whole genome shotgun sequence.
UCAAUUUUUAUGGCUCUACCUAAGACUCAGGUGGCGUUAUUGCCUUAAUAUCUACCUGCCGAGGAGUAAUAAAUGAUUAUUUACUUGGAAUCUUUUACUCUAUGUCUUGGGUGACAUAGAGUUUUUUUGUAGAAAGC